rnacentral:rRNA from 1 species
CGAACUCUGGUAUUGAUUGGUGCUUGCAUCAUGAUUUACAUUUGAGUGAGUGGCGAACUGGUGAGUAACACGUGGGAAACCUGCCCAGAAGCGGGGGAUAACACCUGGAAACAGAUGCUAAUACCGCAUAACAACUUGGACCGCAUGGUCCGAGCUUGAAAGAUGGCUUCGGCUAUCACUUUUGGAUGGUCCCGCGGCGUAUUAGCUAGAUGGUGGGGUAACGGCUCACCAUGGCAAUGAUACGUAGCCGACCUGAGAGGGUAAUCGGCCACAUUGGGACUGAGACACGGCCCAAACUCCUACGGGAGGCAGCAGUAGGGAAUCUUCCACAAUGGACGAAAGUCUGAUGGAGCAACGCCGCGUGAGUGAAGAAGGGUUUCGGCUCGUAAAACUCUGUUGUUAAAGAAGAACAUAUCUGAGAGUAACUGUUCAGGUAUUGACGGUAUUUAACCAGAAAGCCACGGCUAACUACGUGCCAGCAGCCGCGGUAAUACGUAGGUGGCAAGCGUUGUCCGGAUUUAUUGGGCGUAAAGCGAGCGCAGGCGGUUUUUUAAGUCUGAUGUGAAAGCCUUCGGCUCAACCGAAGAAGUGCAUCGGAAACUGGGAAACUUGAGUGCAGAAGAGGACAGUGGAACUCCAUGUGUAGCGGUGAAAUGCGUAGAUAUAUGGAAGAACACCAGUGGCGAAGGCGGCUGUCUGGUCUGUAACUGACGCUGAGGCUCGAAAGUAUGGGUAGCAAACAGGAUUAGAUACCCUGGUAGUCCAUACCGUAAACGAUGAAUGCUAAGUGUUGGAGGGUUUCCGCCCUUCAGUGCUGCAGCUAACGCAUUAAGCAUUCCGCCUGGGGAGUACGGCCGCAAGGCUGAAACUCAAAGGAAUUGACGGGGGCCCGCACAAGCGGUGGAGCAUGUGGUUUAAUUCGAAGCUACGCGAAGAACCUUACCAGGUCUUGACAUACUAUGCAAAUCUAAGAGAUUAGACGUUCCCUUCGGGGACAUGGAUACAGGUGGUGCAUGGUUGUCGUCAGCUCGUGUCGUGAGAUGUUGGGUUAAGUCCCGCAACGAGCGCAACCCUUAUUAUCAGUUGCCAGCAUUAAGUUGGGCACUCUGGUGAGACUGCCGGUGACAAACCGGAGGAAGGUGGGGAUGACGUCAAAUCAUCAUGCCCCUUAUGACCUGGGCUACACACGUGCUACAAUGGAUGGUACAACGAGUUGCGAACUCGCGAGAGUAAGCUAAUCUCUUAAAGCCAUUCUCAGUUCGGAUUGUAGGCUGCAACUCGCCUACAUGAAGUCGGAAUCGCUAGUAAUCGCGGAUCAGCAUGCCGCGGUGAAUACGUUCCCGGGCCUUGUACACACCGCCCGUCACACCAUGAGAGUUUGUAACACCCAAAGUCGGUGGGGUAACCUUUUAGGAACCAGCCGCCUAAAGUGCGACAGAUGAUUA